AUACUUAUGUAGCCAAGGAGAUACCAUGAUCACACGUGGUUUCCCCGGGGUGAAGUUUAUCCAUUACACUCCAGAUGUGCUGGCCCUGCAAUUUCCCCAAAUUUGGGAAACUUGACUGCAUACUUGUGGUAGUGGAGGACUGUGUUCUCACUCUCCUCUG
ensembl:snRNA U1 U1 spliceosomal RNA